UACGUAGGGGGCAAGCGUUGUCCGGAUUUAUUGGGCGUAAAGAGCGUGUAGGCGGCCAGGUAGGUCUGCUGUGAAAACUCGAGGCUUAACCUCGAGCUGUCGGCGGAAACCAUCUGGCUAGAGUCCGGAAGAGGAGAAUGGAAUUCCCGGUGUAGCGGUGAAAUGCGCAGAUAUCAGGAGGAACACCUAUUGCGAAAGGCAGCUCGCU
rnacentral:rRNA from 1 species